rnacentral:rRNA from 1 species
AGUCAACGCUGGCGGUAGGCCUAACACAUGCAAGUCGAACGGCAGCACAGUAAGAGCUUGCUCUUACGGGUGGCGAGUGGCGGACGGGUGAGGAAUACAUCGGAAUCUACUUUUUCGUGGGGGAUAACGUAGGGAAACUUACGCUAAUACCGCAUACGACCUACGGGUGAAAGCAGGGGAUCUUCGGACCUUGCGCGAUUGAAUGAGCCGAUGUCGGAUUAGCUAGUUGGCGGGGUAAAGGCCCACCAAGGCGACGAUCCGUAGCUGGUCUGAGAGGAUGAUCAGCCACACUGGAACUGAGACACGGUCCAGACUCCUACGGGAGGCAGCAGUGGGGAAUAUUGGACAAUGGGCGCAAGCCUGAUCCAGCCAUACCGCGUGGGUGAAGAAGGCCUUCGGGUUGUAAAGCCCUUUUGUUGGGAAAGAAAAGCAGCAGGUUAAUACCCCGCUGUUCUGACGGUACCCAAAGAAUAAGCACCGGCUAACUUCGUG